rnacentral:rRNA from 1 species
UACGUAGGGCGCAAGCGUUGUCCGGAAUUAUUGGGCGUAAAGAGCUCGUAGGCGGUUUGUCGCGUCUGUCGUGAAAGCUUGGGGCUUAACCCCAAGUCUGCGGUGGAUACGGGCAGACUAGAGGCAGGUAGGGGAGAACGGAAUUCCCGGUGUAGUGGUGAAAUGCGUAGAUAUCGGGAGGAACACCAGUGGCGAAGGCGACUACCUGGCCUGUUCUUGACGCUGAGGCGCGAAAGCUAGGGGAGCAAACGGG